rnacentral:tRNA from 1 species
GGGGUUGUGGCUCAGAGGUAGAGCGCUCCCAUAGCAUGUGUGAGACACUGGGUUCGAUGCUCAGCAACACAU